rnacentral:lncRNA from 1 species
UGGCAUUACUCCAAAAACAUGUGCUUAGCAGAGGCAUGGCUUCAUAAACAGGGAUGGUACUUCUUGAGUGAUUUUAUUUCUCUGCUCCAAAUAUGGCUUAAUUCUAACUUGCAGCCUUGAACAAGCUAAAGACUGAAUAGCAUUGCUGCUUUCUUACAUUAGAUAGUUUAGUUAAGCAAUGAAAAUUAACCCCACAAUGAUGCUACAGUUCUUCCUUAACUAGAAAGGUGGCAUCACAAAACAUUGGCCGGAGAAAUGUCAUUUUCUAUAUGAGUAUCUGACCAACAGGAGCAAAUAAAUCUGAUUGAAGUAGAUCAAUCAUAUGGCCACUACACUGACAAGACAGGACAUAACUGAACCCCUUGAGGUCAGGAUGAUACAUGCCUCAUGUUCAUGUAACAAAGAUAGAUCCAGCAAACUACUGUUGCAUAGAAACUGCAAUUACUUAGUGUCUGUGCAGUAGCCUAAGCAUUAGUUGCAUUUAUUUGACUGCAAAUUCAACAGAAAGCAUCCAAUCAAAGCAUUGGAUGCACUACUAACUUUAGCCUAACAAAAGACCUGGAGAGUAAUGGUACCCAACAAGCAAAGCACAGCUCUUCCUAAGGUCAAGCUGAAAGAACAAAUUACCAGGUAAUCGGCAUAGCCUCCACGUAAUCUAUGUCCCCUUAAUUUGUGGGUCAGUGGAAGGAAAGUAUGUGAGUCGUCUUGUAGUGCUAAUUUAGCUUACGAGGUAGUUGUAUCAUGAGAUAACAGCGUCUUCCCUCACUUCCCUUCCUCUCCUCCACAUUACCUAAAACCCUAAAUGGCAAUGCAUGAGGCAACCUAUGAGAUGGCUGGCAUGGACUAAUGUACCCAGCAUAACAACUCAUGAGUAUUGCCUUGGCAGUCCCACAGUUGGCACUACGUCCAAUCAGCAAAGGAAGAGCAACUCUACAACCCAGCAAGAAACAAAAAAUGGAGGGGAGGGGGGGGGGGGGGGGGGGCAAAAUCCUGUCUCUGCUUAACAGCAGUAAGCAAUUGUGAUACCGUGUUAAUAAUAAUAUAUUGAGUGUUGUAUAGAGCAUAUAUAUGCCACAGGCGCUUGUAUGCAAACACUGCAUUAACUUAAAGGUUGUGAUAUAAAUAUACCUGUCAUUUUCUUAUCCAUUUCUUUGUUCCCUAAACCCUCAAAACGACCAUCUUUCUUCCUCCCAGUCGAAGUAUUGUGAAUGAUAACAGUAGGCGGCCACACGAUGAGGUCCUCCCUACUUGCUUGGACAAGGUCAGAAGGUAAUGAUUGGUAGCCCUUAGAGUUCUCAGGGACUUUUGUAUAAUCCCAUCCCAUAAGGACACACAAUGCCUUGUGCAAACCAAGAUGAUCAACAAGUGAAUCUGCAUUUGGUGGGUUGUAAGCAUGCAUGACAAGUCCAUGGACAUCAGCAAAGUCCUUAGAUGACCUGGAAUAGUGCACAUUGACCAGACAUGAUCACAAAUAAAUUAAGAUCCAACAAGUAGCAGCUGGAAACUAGCGAGCUAAACACAGUUCAUUACAAAUACAAUGUAAUAGGAUCGAGAAAUGAGGGAAUCUAAACAGGCAAAUCCCCAAAGUAUCAUAACUAAAAAGUAAGAUAGGAUCCUAUGGCAAAGAAGCAACCGUCAAGAGAAAAACAAUUUAAGACAUAUUCAGUCAUUGGUGAAAUGACGUAUUAUAAGUUUGUUGAUAGCUCUGGUGCUCUGAAGAUCGCGUGGGAUGAGGCAGCCUAGAGGGAUAUGUCAUGGAUUGUCCACAGUUCCACUAUACAUCAAUAAGGAAUGGUUAUAAGCUCCCACUGGAAAAUAUGUUAAUGGAUAACAAGUAAUUUUAUGAGGUCUGCACCUAAGCUUGAGUACUUGCUUCCAAAUCAAAUCCUAUUAGUUGUACAGUAACAGCUAUUGAAAAGUUGAAUCAAAACAUGAAUUGCCAAAACCUUUUUAAGGUAGGCAAAAUAUAUGGAUCCCGCUGUCGCAUCAGGAAGCAACUGGUUUCUCUCAUCAGUUAGGCACUUAGGCAGCAGCUGCAUAGUCAACUAUGCUUUCAAGACGCAGGCAGACAUUUAAGGAAAAAAAUGUCUGGGGCUGUAGAAGGGAGGUUCCAGUGGAUAUUGUGUCCUUUUUAAAAAAAGGAAAGACAUUUCAUAUAGAGUGCGAACCUAACUCAAAUAUCAUAUUUCAAAAAUUGCCCACUUAACAAUUUCCUAAAGCUGUUGAAUUUUUUGUAAACAUCUGGUUCACCACAAGACUGUAUAAUACAUUUUGGCCUCUGCACAAAGAAUUUAUUUUUAUUUCAGGAUUCACUUAUUCCAACAGAUUAGAACUUCAACAAUCUGGACAUAUCGUGGUUUAUAGAUGCCAUGCCAGCCUGAUGUACCUUUACUACAAUGAUACAAUCAAAAGCUUGGCUGGUGAGUGAUGGUAUGUCAUGUCCUCACACCUCCCUUUAACGUCUCAAAUACCUCCAACAAAAAAGAGGGAGAAAAAACUCCACGACAAAUGAAUUACCUUCUAACAAAAAUUCAUUCUAACAUCCAAUAACUUGCAUCCUCUCUCAUGCAUUUAUUGUCGUGACUCCUCGUUAUCUUUAUCCUCUCAGCUUCCCUAGAUGAGUGCAUCCUCUCUCAUGCAUUUAUUCACUAACAAAGCUAUCAUGAGUGCAUCCAUUGUUGCAGCUGUCCAACUCAUCGUUCUCAAGUAUAGCUACUCACCCACUCCUCACAAUCCCAACAUUGCACAAUUUAGUUGCACACAGCACAGUGCAAGCAUGGCCGUGCAGAUUGAGCAGGGCAGAGAAUGCCUGACACAGGCUGCAGCUUAUCUCAACCAGGCAUAGUGGCCACACAAUGUGUGCAGUUUAGGUGAAAUACAAGCAGAAGGACAUGAUGUCAGCAGGUGUAUCCUCCUCAUGGGGGUUAAGUAUGAGUACUAGAAUAGUAAAAGUUAAUCCUCUAGCAAUGGCAGGCCUUAUCAGCAAUAUAAGCUAACAAAAACAGGGUCUACAUAUGAAGCUACAAUCAGGAAUAUUGUAGUUACUAUGCCAGCUACAGAACAAGUUUAAUAAUGUAUACCAUCAUGCAAAAUAUACGAAUAAUAAAGGAUACGACAAACAAUAAAAGCAAUUGGAGCGGCACAAUUUCAGGAGAAACAAUUAUAGAAAAAAAAAACAUAUAAAGCUAUGCCUCUAGCAUCCCAAACAACCACAAUACCUCAAGGAAUGUGUCGUUUCAAAUAUCCAGAUACUUUAGAUACUACUGAUAAGGCACUUGGGACAUAAAUAUCCUUUUUGGUUACUUGUAUACACCUAGCCUGGCAUGUAUGAGCUCAGCCACGCUGGACUCAUGGCCCUGGUUUAGGAAUGCGGUCCCCACCGCACGGUGCGGUAGACGAGCGGUGGUGAGGGAGACACGAUACGUAGAAUUGGGUCCGUAGUUCAUCUUCGUGGUGUUUGAGUCGGACGCAGUGAGAAAAAUCAAAGGUAACACAUGGCAUUUGGCAGGAUUCUGGGCUUCCUUCGACCGCCACCACGAGAUACGCGGUCACAAACAAGACUAUACAAGGUUGCUCUGUUUGGUUGCUCAUAUUUGCCAUCCAGGCAGUGUUUUGAUAAAAUGUGUAAGGCAAAAGUAAUUACUCCCUCCAGUACCAUUUCUUAAGCCCGCAUGGGCUCAAAUUCUAGAUACCAAGGAAACACUGGAUACCGAGGAGGGGUAUUAAAUGGCGCAGGAUUGUGAGCUCAUAUUUGCCAGGUUGCAGCCCUGUGUUGGAUUCCUGAUUAGCUGCAUUCACUAAGGUUGCUACUCAGAGGUUGCAGCCAACCGUUUGGUUUCCAUGCGGUCACUAAUGCCUGCUUAACAAGACAGACAUUUCUCAAACUACACCAGCACCUAAGAAACGGUACCAGAGGGAGUAUUAUAUUUAUUGUAUAUAAGUUUUAGAAGUCUUAGUUUCUUAGGUACCACCAUUUCUCAAACUACAACGGCAUCCAGCAAUCCAGGGCCACAGGAAACGGAAAUGAAACUCAUUUCCUGGGAGCCAGGCUGAGGGAGCUCUUUCGCAUCCUGUGGGACAGGCUCAAGCCUUGUACAGGCAACCAAACAGGCUACAAACAAGAACAAAAAUGAAACCAACUCAAUCUUAUAUUUGUCUAGAAACUAAGAACAAAAAUGCGCCCAAACAUUAAUGGUGCACAAAGUAUUUGACACUCAAAAUACACAAGUAUGCUACGUAUUAUAUGAUAGCACCAUCUGAAGCCCCAGUAGCUUGAGAUAUGUUGGGAAAGAAAAACAUUCAGAUCAUAAAUCAUGCCAGCAAUACAAAAUAUAAAAGUGCGAGAGUGAAAGAAAAACACAUAGCACAACCUCAAUAAUAAACUAAACAUACAAAAAUAAGAGUUGUAACAAGAUCAAAUAAACAUUCACAAGCACAGAAUUGCAGCCAAGCAAUCAGUGAACAAGGAUAUUAGUGGCAGAUCUACCAGAGCUGUCCUUGCCACCACAUAUAAGAACUUGCAAGUCGCAAGAAGUAAAGCAGGAUAUGCAGAUUAUAUAUAUUUUCAGAAAUCUGUACUCAGAUAACCUCGCACAUCAAUGCGGCUCUUAUUAAAAACUUGCAGUUUCCUACUACAUGUCAAAGGCAGGACGAAACCACUGUAGUUCUAUACUUCUAGGUAGACUUCUUAUCACACAAGUGCCACUUUAAUUCAAUCUUCGAUGGGUUGGUCAGACGUAAUUCAGUCUUCAAUAGGUAGGAAAGAGACGUAAGAGAAAAAAAAAUAUGUACAGAAUAAGCUUAUAUUACGAAAUCAAAAGAUAUGCAAUAAGCGCCGGUGAUAGAUAGAUAUAUGGUUCACUGGAAUGGAUAUAUCAUUACUCUCAUGAUGGAAAACAAAACCCUCAAAUAACUCAAAGUAAUCCUUGGAGCAAUGAUGGCAUUAUACCAAGUAGCAAAAGGCAGAAAAUCUGUUGCUAGACAUACCUAGCAACUGCAACACCAGUACCAGAUAAAACUAAGCAACCUCGACAUUCCUAGUACUGCUAACUGAUAUCUAACUCGUUCCUAGUACGUAUAUCUGUUAGUCCAUAACCAACACGGAACUCUGCCUUUAAAAAAUGCAUAUAUACCAAUUAAGCCGCAUGAUAUACUAAUAGAGAAAGACCUAUUGGCGGCAAUUUUUCAGUAAAGAGAUAGCUGUUCGGUGGAUUUCUCCACCCAGACAUAACAUAGUCAGUUCCAGUUCAACUAGAUCAUAACAAUAAGGAGAUACUGUUUGGUGGAUUUCUCCAGCCAGAUAUAGACAUAACAUAGUGCCAGAUUAACUGUAGAUCAUAGCUGAAAAACAAGUCGUAUCAAGCCAAAGUAAGUGCCAGCUCAACAAUAGCAAGAAACCAACACAGGAACUUGACUACAAAUGAUACUAGAAAGCUUGCCAGGAAGAAGGCAGCAAACAGUGUGGGAUCGCCAAACCUGCCACAGGCGAGGCACGGGACACGGCCGCCCUCGAGAUAGCUCCGCCUCUGCGCGGAGCUCUCGUUGAGCAUCUUGGCGUACUUGAGGAACGCCCUCCUGAGUGCGUGCCGGUCCACCGCGGCAUGUGGCGGCGGUUGAUGCGGCCCGUCGAGCCGCGGCUGCUUGUGGUGCCUAGGGAAGCCCUCGUCCUGGUCGGCGGGGUGUUUCCGCCUAGCCUCGUGCGGCGGCAUCUGCACAGGCAUGGGCAUGGGCAUCUGCGGCGGCGGCGGCGGCGCCUGAUGUGGCGGCCAAAGGUCUGGGGCGGCGCGGGGGAGGAGGUGGCGUGGGAGGGGUGGCAGGGGCGCCGGCUCGAAGGGGUAGUCAGGGGGCAGGGCGAAGUAGGUGCGGACGGUGCCGUCGGCGAGGAGCAUGGUGCGGCGGUCGAGGUUGUGGAAGCCGUACGGCUGCGGGGGAGGAGUCUCCACCGCCGGGUGCGGCUGAGCCUGCGACCGGAGGGCGGCCGCGGGCGACGCGGGGUUGCGGGCGUGUGGUGCUGGCACGGGAGGGGCCCCCGGAUGGCGCCUGGAAUCCGCUGUGCGGGUGGGGGUCGGGGUGCGGGCGGAGGUGGAUGGCGCGGCCUUGUCCCCAGCCGGGGCGGCGCCGGCAGCGCCCGGUGGCGGUGGACCCCAGCGAGAUUUGCGGGCCGGCGCCAUGCCAGCGGGGGGCUUGCCUGCGGCGGAGGGCCGCGAAGGAGGAGGGUUAGGGUUCUUCAUGCGAAAGACGCGAUCGCGAUGGAAGCUGUGUGGAUUUGGGGGAAUGCGACUGGAUUUGGAUGGCGUCGGAGACAGGACGAACGAACAAGAGGGGGCACAGCCGCAGAGUGCCAGCACACGCCGCACGCGAACAGAGGUCCUCGACGAGGCUUGUCUUUGGAAUUCCUUUCAUUCUCGUUUCUUUUUUCUAAAUGCAGCGUCUCUCUUUUUCUUCUUCUUUUUAAGGCCUUGUUUAGAUACACCCAAAAAUCCAAAAUUUUACAGGAUUCUCCGUCACAUCAAAUCUUACGACACAUGCAUAAAGUAUUAAAUAUAGAUAAAAAGAAUAACUAAUUACACAGUUUACUUGUAAAUCACGAGACGAAUCUUUUAAGCCUAGUUACUCCAUAAUUAGACAAUAUUUGUCAAAUAAAAACAAAAAUGUUACAGUGUCAAAAUCUCAAAACUUUUUUCAUCUAAACAAGGCCUAAAUCCGACGACCUUAAAAGUAGAAUUAGAAAAGACAGUUCGACUAGGUGGUGGGGACAGCGGCCGCAUGCCAUUCGAGGCUAGUUCUCAAAAAAAAUUAUAAAAUUUUUUAAUUCCUCGUCACAACAAAUCUUAGACCUUAUUUCCUCUAAAAAUCCAAAACUUUUCAAGAUUUCCCGUCACAUCAAAUUUUGCGGCACAUGCAUGGAGUAUUAAAUAUAGAUAAAAUAAAAACUAAUUGCACAGUUUGUAUGUAAAUCGCGAGAUGAAUCUUUUAAGCCUUGUUAACAUGUAUAGAGCAUUAAAUAUAUAUAUAUAAUUAUAUAUAAAUAAUUAUAUAUAAAUAAUUAUAUAGUUUAUUUGUAAUUUGUGAGACGAAUCUUUUAAACCUAAUUAGUCUAUGAUUAAACAAUAUUUAUCAAAUACAAAUGAAAAUAUUACAGUAUCUAUUUUGCAAAAAAAAUUAGAACUAAACUAGGCUCGAGUCAUGACAGCCGGACAGAGGCCAUGUGGAGGCGCCUAUGAUCGGAGCUCGCCACGAAAGGAGGGAAGAGGGGAAGGAGGAGGCGGCCACGGUCGCGCUAGAGUUUCGUCGGAAUUCCGGAGCCGUAGAGCACUAGCAAAACCCUAGAGCGGAUGCAACAGGACGGUGGGUGGCGGUGAAGACAAGGAGGAAAAAGAAUAGUGAAAAAAUGGAUGUUGUGCACUCGGUCAUUGGAUAGACAACUCCUUACGGCUUACGCAGUCAAUAUUGCAAGGUAUACUUCGGGUGUGAUCAACCAGCUACGCAUGGCUCCGCGUGUCAUUGCGCUUAGAUCUUCGAUGGUGAGGAAGCCUCGCUCAAUCCUAAGGCCUGGCCAAUCUAGGAUAGACCCGUUAUAUAUACCAUUUUAGUUGACUACAUGAAUACAUAGUAGAUAUAAGUUGUUUGUUUGUAAGCUCAAAAAAAGUGAAAACGAUUCUCGUUUCCAUGGAGCCAAGGUUGAUGGGGCUUAGUAGAUAGAUAAAGUCGAUGAGUUGUGUGUCGCUAGGCUCAAUAAAAAUUGAGACGAGAAGCUAGAAAGAGAACUCGAGUCGUGAUCUCACAACUCUUCCGUGAAGAAUUUUGUUGGCAAAUCGAAACAUGCUUACAUUAGGGUAUCUCAACAAGCACCCAAGUCAUAAGCUGACUUCGAAUUUUGGACAAUGUGAAGGUGAGAAUGUGAAAAGAGAACAUAAUAAAAAAGUGGUUCGUCAUUGUCAUUAGUCCCGAUAAAAAAAUAGUAGAGAAGAUCGAAAUGGAACUUCAACCAUGAUCUCAUGGCCCGAGGAAUUUCAUCGGUGGAUCCAAACAUUAACACGUGUGAAGAGAAGCCCUAAGCCAAUUACACAAAGCCUACAUAUACAAUGGCAGGACGAGCAAUGGCUAGUAGCACUAGGUUGGGAAAGGGCAGUGGCAUGGUAGAAGAAAGGGUCGGUGCCCUGAAUCAGUGGCACGAGAGAAGAUGAGUUGGGUAUAAGAUAAGGUUGUGGAGUAGUAGCACAAGAGAAGAUGAGUUAAGUAUAAGAUGAGGAUGUUGAGUAGUAGCACAGGACAAGUGAAUUGGCCAUGCUGUCCUGGUGAAGAAGACAAGAGAGGCAGAGUUGUUGAAGACAAAAAAAUCUAUAUAUGAAAUAUGCAAUGUGUUGCAUUUAAAUAGCUUACAUGUACAUGUGUCUAUUUUAGAUUAGGAUGCCCUUUCGCCAUAAAUCAUUUUUAUAUUCCAUUUCAUGCUUGGCAUUAGAAAUUGGAUCUUUGAAAUACAUCGUUUAUCAUGCAGGGUAUGUUACUAAACAUAAUAUUGAAUGAUCGGUUAGUUCUGUUUAGCCAUUAUUCAGUCAAAACAACCGAUUAAACAAAAAUAACAUACUAUCAUGUAAUAUUUUAAUAAAUAAGUUAAAUAACCAUUUAGGCGAACAAUAAUAUAAUGUCAUAACGAAGUUUGGUUCUAGAUAUAGAAGAGUUGAUGGCUAUGAAAAACAUCCUAAAACUAUCUAAUGGAUUGUCAAAACUCAAAAGCUAAGAAAAACUUAGACUUAGCAUGGACUAAAACAACUAACUUUAGUUAGUUUUAAAUAGCAUGUACUACCUUUAGUAUUUUAGUUAAACUUGAAAUAUUUUGACUUUUUAAUAUUCUUGAAAUGAAUGGAGGAAGUAGAAUGAAGGGAGUAUAAGGCUGUCUCCAACAGGAGACUUAUUUGGAAACUCAAACCUAAAAUGGGUCUCCAACACAAUACCUAUAGCCUCCAACAGAGUAACUAUACAGAAGACCGACCCAUUUUAGGUAUCAGAGAGGCAUAACCCAAAUUUGGGUAUCCUCUCUUCUCGAGACCCAUUUGCAGAGAGUGUUGUCUUUUAGGUCUUGUUGUUGAAGAAGACUAAAAAUAGGUAUAUAACCUUUUACAUGUAGCGCUACUCAAAGGACAAAUAAGUCUUGUAUUUUAGGUGAUGAUUGUUGGAGAUAGUCAACAGAAAAUCAAACCAUUACUAACACCGACCCGACCUGGUAGUAGUGCCAAAACAGAGGGUGUGGGCGGUGCCACCUCCCGGCUCCAACUGCCGGCGGCAGACAGGGACAGGCGCGAGGCUAGAGCCCGGCGCCGAUGAGGUGCCCGUCGAACAAAUGCCCGGUGUUUAUAAGGCGUAGGCGGCGCAGCUCGACGUGCCGGAGGACGCCAACGACAACGAACGACGUCUUGACGAGGCUACGACUACGAGUGCUCGUCCGCUCGGAGCGUUGAGCUGAAGGUGAGGUUACUUGGAACUUGGAUCAUGCACGCCCUCGCCCUGCACCUGUUUGUUAUUUUGCUCCAGUGAAAAAUCGUAUUGCUGAUUAGGCUAGGAUCGGUCCUAUAUUCGUAUGCCUUGGCCACUAAUCCAUCAUUGAACGGUAGACCCUGCUUUGAUCAUGACCCACUAUUGCACAUGGGAAGCAGGUCUAACCGUCUAAGAGGGUGGGGGUUCAGUAACCAAAUAACGAUAAAGAUCAGGUGAUGGUGGUGAUACAAUUACAGCCACAAAACCAAUAACGACUAUAAGUCUAUAACCUGUAACCCCUUAAUCACAAAGAGGAAAUAAAGCGUGUGGUUUUUGUUUCAAUCCCAGGAAUAGAUAUAUCUACAUUACUCAGCAUGCAUAGAUCAUGAGCUGCUCAAUACUAGGUUACAAACACUGGUAAGCAAACUUCCUUUGUGGGCAACAAACAUUGCAGAUUGCACAGACUUGCCCACAUCCGAAAUGUCGGGGAAAUCGCUAUGCCAGGACUAGAUCUGGAUACACACCUAAACCGGCCUACAGAGAUAUAUACUAACUUUCUGCUCAACAAAACUACUGUCUCCAUGGAUUAAUUAAACAAUCAAGAAAUCAUCUGCAGAUCAAGAACACUAGUUAGCUACUAUUAUCACACACAUGUAUUAAGUACGUGGCACUUUGUAUUUCCUGAGCUGUGCGUGAACUCUGAAGUGAUGAACACUUCAAGUCCCUUGAAGUGUCAUCGCCACACUGUCACUAGGGGUCUCCUCCAGCUGCUGAAGAGGCUCCAAAGUCGCCACGAUGUCACGCAUCAGCGGCCUAGCCUUUGGGUUGUGGCUAAGGCAAUGGUAUGCCAACAUCGAUGUCUUCUGCACCGCCUUUACUGGGUAGUCCUCGGCAAGCCUUGGGUCUACUAUGCCAAGUACCUUCUUCUUCUGUGUCAACAGCGGGAAUGCCCAGUCUGCCAACAUCUGCUCCCUGACAGGUCGGGACUUGUCGAGUGACUUCCGGCCCGUGAGGAGCUCCAGUAGUACAACACCAUAGCUGUAGACAUCGCUCAUCGCUGUUAGAUGCCCUGGAUUUGAAAAAAAGCAACACAUUGGUUCAGUCUAGCACUGGAAAUCUGGAAUUUCUGGAAUCAGAUGGCUAGCUGAUUCUAAAAGAUCCAGUGCCAAUUCUCUUUGCUUAUGUAAAGUUCCGUAUCAGGUCAUGACCACAAGGCCCUGAGCUCCUGAGUAAGCAGUUGCAUGAACCUAGCAUAUAUUUUAUUUUGAAACUCACUUUGAAGUAGUUAAGCUUGCUCUUGACUUAGAUACACAGUGUGAUCUGUGAGGAUCACAUUACCUGUCAUAAUGUACUCUGGUGCAGCAUAACCGUAGGUACCCAUAAUACGAGUUGAAACAUGGGAUUUAUCGCCAACUGGUCCAUCUUUUGCAAGCCCAAAGUCAGAUAGUUUUGCAUUGUAUUCCUGUAGUUUUUUUGGGUAUCAAAUAAGAUUCUGAUAAGCAAGAAACCACUGUGUCCCAUACUCCCAUGUCCAUAACAAAAUGAAUGACAGUAUCAUACUGCAUGUGGAUUUUCCUUUGUUUCCUGCGUUUUAGUUUACAGCAACUGGCAUUCAAUUGUAACAACCUAAAAAAAAUAAGUUACCUCAUCUAGCAAUAUGUUUGAUGUCUUAAAGUCCCUAUAGAUGACUGGCUUCUCAGCUUCAUGCAGAAAAGCAAGUCCUUUUGCAGCACCGAGCGCAAUUUUCAUUCUGAUCGACCACGGAAGUGGCACCAUAACCCCUGCAUUAUAAAUACAAAUACUUCAAUGAUCUGAUAAAAUAUUGGUUAAUCUCAAAUGAACAAAUAAUAAUGCAUAACUGACCACAUAGGUCGUGCAGAAAUUGAUAAUGCUGCCACUUGAUGCAGUGCAGAGAUUAAAUAAUGCUAGUUCAGGAUAGGAGUGAAGGACAGGUUUAUGCUCGUUUUCAGUUAAUUAUUUCCAGUUAUGGGUAUGAGAAUUUGCACGAAUGCCAUGUGUGGAUAUACCAUAGUCAGUGUUCUGACAAGGCGACGAGAAAUUUUAGAAAACCAAGCAACAAUCUGUCAAGAAUAGGAUAAGAAUUACUUGAAAAUAAAUGAGACUCCACACUUCCUAGAGGCAUGAACUCAUAAACAAGAACCCUGUGGUCAUCUUCACAACAGUAGCCAAUCAACUUCACUAAAUUUGGGUGAGAGAGCUGUCCAAGAAAUAUAACCUCUGCCUGCAAACACGGACAAAAACUUCAUAUCUGAAAACAGCAAAGCAAAGCUUGCCAAAAAUAAAUGAAGAUAACAACUGAAAAAAAUGCUUUCAUCAUAAUAUAUUCAGAAAUAGUAGUUAGUCACCAGCCACUCCCUAUGGCCUUGGAAGCUAUUGUCACCAUCAUGGACCUUUACGGCAACUCUCAGGGGCUCUUCUAUCUCUAAUCCUUCACGGAGAUCCUUGGUGAUGAAACCUUUGUAGACUCUGCCAAAUCCACCACCCCCUAGUAAUGAAUCUUGCCUGAAAUUUUUGGUAAUUCUCUUGAGCUCCUCAAAUGUGAAUGCUAUCAAAGGAUUGCAGGCUGUAUCCUUUCUCAGCGCCUCCACUUCUUUUGGGUUGGAUGGUAGCUGGCAGUCCUCCUUUUCAGUUCUCUCCGAUGGGCUCUGAAUUUUGGGAGAUUCUGCAGAAAACAAAUAGGCAAGUCAAAUAUGGGGACUGAAAUACAGGAUGCAGAUUAUUCAGAAACUUUGUAAAAUCAGUUACCAAAAGAUGGACAAGAAUUUCAUAUGGCAGAACAAAAAAGUAUCUGACCAUUACAUGGAAUAACCAUAAAAUCAACUGUCAAGGUUAAAAAAAAAUCAUUGGAUUGGAUCAGAUUAAACAUUAGGACUGAUUUUUUGUGAAGAAAAUAUUCAGUACUAAAAUAUCUGUAGUUGGAUUAAGCAAGAGCAGGGAACAUCUAUCGAGAUGAGAGAACAUUCUCUCUCUCUCUCAAAAAAAAAACAGCAGUUUCAUUAAUGCCUAAAUUGAGGGGAUCAAACAAAUAUCUGAAACUUCUGCAUACUACAGUUGCAGUUACAUAAUCACAGAGAUCAAACCAAAGAUAUAAUAGUGGUACCUGAUUUGGUUGCAUUGGAAGAAACCCUGUUAAAGUAUGGAUUCCCCUUAAACCAGCAAUUACCCAUAGUGCACGACUCCUAAAGAAGAAACUCUGUCUGGCACUGUGACUCACCAAGAACACCAAGAACAGAAAAGGAGGCAAAAGAGUGCUUGCAGUAAAGCUGAUGGGUUGAUGGUUUGCUUCUUUAGCAACGGAUGAGCACCAAAAAAACAAGAACGACACCAAUAUAUAAUCCCAGACCUAUGAAUCACUCUCAGGAACCAAACCAAGAACAGGCCCUCCUGAAGAUCAGCCCUAGUUGUCAGCAUGAAACCAAGGAAGAAGGAAAGAACGCUGGUGCGAGAGAAGGUCCAAAUUUUUAUUCUCCUGAAAGCUACAGAGAAGGCACAAGCACAAAGGAAUUCUCUAUUGAAUGGAAACAAAACGCAAAGGUGGAAAAGAAACGGAACAGCUCAGUGCUGGUAGUCCGUUACCUCUAUAUGCAUCCUUAUAUGGAUGCCAUAAAUAUUGCAUUUAAGAAGCGUAUGGAAGAUUUUUCUUUUUUUGUAUUUAUUUAUAUUUUCCUCUAUGCAUUUCUGGGCUUGUGGAGGAGAAGAAAAAGGGGAUGGGAAAUGCAGCGACCAGACAUCACGUAAAGGCCCCAGAGCACCAAGACGAGGGUGCACUCGAGUUUGAGUGGGGCAAUGGGGAUUGCCGUUGUGGCUAUCUCUGUCUCUCUCCGCUCCCCUGCAAUCAUCCUAGAUUCCACUGUCUUGUUGCUGAGGGCUGAGGCCCUUGACCUCGGUUGCUUUGCCCUCACUCCUUUCCGAAUUGCUUUCUGGGCUGUGGUUGGGACUUGCAAGGAAUGCACUCAUCUAGCGCCAUCUGCUUGAUCUUUCAGGGGAUAUGAAAUGAUGGGGUUUCUUGGUGGAGCGGCGGUGGUGGUGGUGCCCAUCUCAACCCCACUAACCAAUAACUGUAGCCACAGGUGAGACUAAUCACUGCACUAAUUAUAUCUCCCCAUUUCCUUGCUCCAAGGAAUUUUCUAAUCUUCUCGUGGAAUUUGCUUUCUUUCCCGUGUGAUGAUGACAACCUUUACUGCUGGGCAAGUGGGUGUCUGGAUCAUGCAGCCAGUUUUGCUAUCUCCUCCUACGAAUUUUCUCCAGGGGAAAUGUUGCAAUCCACGCAGAGUUGUGUUGCACUGGGAAUUGGCUUGGGCAACUCACUCAGCGUUGCUUUUUGGCCGCUCUUUUGGCUUGGGUGGGCUUGGGAGUGAGGGCGAGACCUGGACCAGUGCCAGUCUUCCAAGUUCAGCACCCACCAGGCACCACCAACCAUUACAUCUGUUCCUUCCCACCGAAUUCGGUCUGAAAUGUUUCCCUUCUGUCUAAGCUCGGCGUGUCAACAUCUAUCUUUUUCCUAGCCAAUUGCCAUGCUUAGGUUUGGUUUGAUCUCAUUAAUUAAGGUCAACAAAGGUGCACGGCUUUGGAUUACUUAGGAUGGCGCUUGGUCUGGGCAACAAAUUAUAAACACAAAGGGCCCAUCAGUGAAGACAGUAACAGUUAUGCUGUUUCGACAUGUGAGGGAUAUAGUUGCAGAAACAUCCCAUUUCAGUUGUAGCUAGUGAUCCUGCAUCUUCAUAGGGAGGUGUCUGGCGUUUAUGUCCCCUGGAGGUUCAGCAGCAUAGCGUGAACUACUUGUUUACAUGAACGUAAAUAGUUUCUCAUUGCAUUCCCUGUCAAACUGUAAUAUUGGCAAAGAAAUGAGCAUGUCAAUAAGGGGUGGACAAUAUGCUUGGGGAUAACCUUGUGCGACCACCUUGAUUGCUUGUGAGACUUUGUGGUGUUAGAGCUAGGCUUUGCAUAUACACCUUUAGGCUGCUCAGUUUUGGGUUCACCAGGGCCUAAAAAUUGGGGCUUAAAUUCUCAGUGAUGGGACUGUGAGAUCCAGCUAGUAAAACACUUCUAUCAUGCUGUCCAUUUCAUGUUUUUCCUAACUGCGUCGGCAUCAGUAGCUCUGACAUAUAAACUCAGCUCGUAUUUGGAUUUUGUAUGGAUGCAUGAACCUUGAGGAUGGCGACAGAUUCCGUCCGUGAUUGGUGCUAGAAGAAGUUAUUUGAGUAGAUUGACUAUACCGUUUCAUGACACUUAGCGAUGUUUUGAUGGGUUAGAAUCUUGCCUGUAGUAGGUCAUUUUUGUCAUUUUAUCAAAAUAGCACACUUUGGUUUUUAUUUUUCUAUGAUUAAAAGCUACAGGCCUUUACAGGCCGCAUGCUUUUUACUCUUGCAUUUUGAGAGUUGCAAGUCAAAGAAACAGGCUCCACUUGGGUUUCCUUAGUUGCCUGAUCCUAGAAAGCCCUAAAGGUAACUUCAUUUGUUGUCCGCACUAGAAAAGAUACUUGUCUAGAUUCUCCUACAAGGUAGCUUGCACAAGUAGUGUUUGUGAACUUGUCAUUUGGGAAUUAAAAUCCUAUUCAUUUAGCUCUUGUUGUCUAGUAUUAGCUCUGAUGGUACUGUAUUUCUUUUGUUGUCCUGAAUCCUGAUUAUAACCUACAGCCUGGGUCAUGCCUUUAUCAUUUUUUCUUCUCUUUUUUUUUAUUGAACACGCAGGAGAGUUGCCUAUCAUCAUUAUAUUGAGAAGAAAGAGACUGUUCUGUCAAUGUCUAGACAACUUACUGACAUGGAAUCCAUUUUUCAGUGAAUGAUUUCUACCCUGUAAGCUCCAGGCACACUCUUAGAUUUCAAGUUUGGUGUUUUUUUUUUUUUUUAAGAAUUCAAGGGCAUCAUCCCAUGUCCGUUGCAUUGUAUUGCAUCAGCACAGUAGUUAUAAGAGUUCAGAUUAAAGUGGUUACAAGACGUUAAAAGUUUGACUCGGGAAACAACAAUCUCUAGCUCUCUGAAGCCAGCUUAACAGAUCAUGACUUACACACUGUUGGUAACACAAAUUAUAGGAGAAAGAUUUAAGGGAUUGAUUGCAGUGUACUUUGUAGUCUCUGUUGGUUAGCUGCUGGGUUGGUCUGAUAAUAGCCCCUCUCUCUCUUGUUUGAGACCGAGAAAGAAGGGUUGGCGACUUGUUUUUUCUGAUUGGAUUUGUAAAAACUUAUUUUCUUCCAUGUUCAGGGUCAAGUGCCAAACAUGUUUAUUCUCAAAGAAACAUGUGUGACUCUCUUGUUUAUUCUCAAAGAAAAUAUGUGCAUGGUCAAGCGCCAAAACAUGUUCAGUUGAGUUUUCCCCCUUUCCUCAAAAGGUAAUAGUUUGUAGGUUUUCGUCUGAAAUAUCGAAUUCAGGAGAGUUUUCUGAAAUACACAAUGGCCAUCAACUUGAAAAACUGUUGUGUUGAUCUGUGAUUCUGUAGGGUUGUAUAGUAUCUUACUGUCUGCUUAUCUUGAACAUUUCGGUCUAAUGGUUUACAAAACUUGUGACAGUCAUGUUUAUUAUUAACCAAAGUUAUGUACUUUUCUUAUAUUAUAGUCAAAACUCAAAUAUUUUCAGGUAAACUCCAAAUUAUGUUCCCCUUUGUGUUUAUACAUUAUGAUAUCCUGUGCAGAACUUUGACAAGUCUGUUUCAGAAGGCUUUCCAUUAUGAUAUCCUGUGCAGAACUUUGGCAACUCUGUUUCAGAAGGCUUUUGGAUUAGAUAAAUCUAGCAUGUUCAGAGAAACCAGAUGCUACCAAGGAUCAUGCUAUCAUACACAAGCAGAAAGGUGCUCCAUCUCUAUAUUUUGCAGUAGACAAAAUUCAUACUGCAAUCCAAGAGGUGCCUUAUUUUGGCAACAAUGCUCUGCUUCAUGAUGGGUUCUGAAAGACAGUUUAAAAGAACUAAGGAGUUCAUGUUGUCAUAAAAGGAAAAUUUUGUGUAAUGGAAAUCCUUGUGCAGCAGAUAAGGAGGUGUUGUUGCCUGUUUGGUAUUCAUGCAGCCAUGAACGGAAGCUUGCGUAAUACCAAGCCAUGCAAAUCCUUGUGGGGGCAUGUAAGGCGGUAUAAUUGUCUGUUUGGUCUUCAGGAACUCCACAAAAGGUACAUUUGCCAUUAUCAAUCCAUCCUCAAAUGUAUCUGCUUUGUUAUUGUUCUGUGCCUCCCAUGAAGCCAAAAGAACCAUUUUGUUUAUGGAGCCUUGGAGGGUGCACAAGUAUCCUUCAGUUGGAUUGACCAUAAUUGACAUGCAUGGAUAUGAUGCAGCUAUUGAACAUGUCAACAUGGAUAACCAAACACAUGUGGGAACCAUUUUUUUUUUCCUAUGUUGCAUCGAAUGAUGCAAAUUUCAUGUAAUAAUGCAUCUAAAAGAUGAAAAGAUUGACGGUCGGUGAAGCAUGCUGGUAGAUCUUUUUGGUGAAGUGAACAAAUAUGAUGAACCAAACUCACGCCAAGGGUGUGUUUGUUAACACUCAUACUGUAUGUUUGACGCUUUUUUUUAGACAAAAAGUCUCCCGUACUUUAUAUUUCAAAAGCAAACCGACGGUUUAGGGUCAUACAAGGUUUCAGGAGCAUCAGCACACGCACAAAAGCACACGGUUUUAAACUUAGUUUUAGAGAACAUGCGCUGCAUGUGUUUCAUUAAGUAGUUGAAAACAGUUUACAAUUUUCAUUUCUUUCCUUUACGUAGUUGAAAACAGUUUACAAUUUUCAUUUCUUUCCUUUACUCUCUCUGUACUUAAACUUCUUUUGCUUUCAAUAAAUUUGCUGUAGGGGUCUCGACCCCUCCAGAUCUCAAAAAAAAAAAACAGUUUACAACGAAGUCUUACUCGGUAAUCCGAAGAUUACCGCAGGAAAACCCCACAAAACGCACACCACAGCUUAGAACACAAGAGACACUAAAAAGCUUCAGAGAUUUGUUGUAAACGCACACGGUUUUAAAUUCAGAGCUUAUUACAUGAUAUCAACAUCAUCAGUCACUUCUGGCAGCAGCUGCCGAAACCGCUUUGACGUGGUUUCGACUCUCUCUUCUUCCUCGUCGGUUGAAAUCUGUGGAAGGAACGAAAUUACCUUCGAGAGGGCGCCCCGGCAACCGGCUGAGCUGUUGCAUGUCAUAUUGGACGAAGCUUCGCUUUGGAUUGCCGCCGGGUUCAGGCCUCUUUCGGCUAUUGAUGCCCUGCGCCAGCUAGUGCUGUCUUAGGUUGUGUUUGGUUGGGCUGUGACUUUUAGAAAAGCUACUGUGAGCUUUGAGUUUUUGAAAAGCUGCUGUGGGAUGUGGGCUUUGAGAAAUCCAAAAGUCAUUUGGUUGGUCACUCGUGGCUUUUGGAAAAAAAACUGAACGGAUCCCAAAAGUCAGUGAAAGCAGGGGAUGAGGUGCUUUUGGAUUUGUACUACGAGAAAAAGCUGCUUUUGGGCAAAAGCACUUGUGGCUUUUGGGCCCUUUGGUUGGCUUUUGGCUUUUACAAAAGCAAAAGCAGGUUCAAAAGCCCAACCAAAGUGACCCUUAGUAGAGGGUACCUAGGGUCUUCUUGCUGUUUUGGUUUCGUGUGAAGUUUGAGUGUCAUCGGUAAUCUUUGGUUUACCGGGUUUGUUGGUUCUUGUUAAAAUCUAAUUCUUCUGCUCAAUGAAAUAUAUGCCGAGCAUGUUCUCAAAAAAAAACUUCUGGCAGCUAUUGAAGACCAAAAUCCGAUGGAACCAAUUUGUGAGGAUGUAGCCGUUGCCAUCUCCUCCUUUCACUUGAUCUGUGCCGGACGCUUUUGAUAAUUCUUCCAUGUUAAUGAUCAGCUCUUCUAGCACCACUGCAAUCCUCCUACUUGAACAUCGACAACCAUCCUCUUAACAUUUUUGCGAUUCAACAACCGGUUGAUUUAGUCCUUCCCAUCAACUGAAAUUUUCUAUGCACUUACAUUGUUUUAUAGCUAUAUUUACACUAUCUUAUUACUAUAUUUACAACAAUUUCUUCAGUAUAACUUAUUUUUAUGGAUUCCAGACAUCAGAGAAAUAUAUAUCAAAUUAUUCAUAAAUUCUUCACAAAUUUUUAAAAAUAAAAAUUCAAACAAAACUGUUGCAACCGGAAGGAGCACCCUUGCCGAAGACGCCCGCGCACACGCGUCCCCAGGCAAAAGGAAACAGCGUCGACCUCUCUCUUGGCAACCAGCACGGACCCACGAGCAACUCCCUCUCCUUUGCUCACAAACACGCUGGUCACCACGCAACUAGGCAAGCAGGCCGCCUAAAGUCGGCUCCUUCUAGGAAACAGAUGGGACGCCAUCGACAGCAAAAAAACGGUUGAGAAAUCAUCCUAAAUUAACCGGUUGACAUAUAGCAAUACUGUUCUGAUCAGCACAUCCUCAAACCUGUCCAUACCACCCCCUGAAAACACAUCUCAUUUCUCAAUUUCCAUAAUGACCACAAAACAGAAGACGAAAUCACAUUAGCAAUUAAAAAAUUCUUGUUGGCGCAACUCCAAGACCUUGGCUAAAAUUAGUAGACAAAUUUCAUUAUUUAGCUAUUUUGUAAAAUAGAAAACUUCUUAAAAAAAAUUCUACAACAGUCUUGCUAUUUUACAAAAUCAGAUAGACAGUGUCAGUGGUUGGUUAUAUAUGGACACCGAAGAUCAAAGGAUAGCCAAUUUUCUAUUUUACAAAACCAAAUAACACAUCUGUUGGAGCCUACAUUUUGCUAUGCAAAUUCUAAAUUAGCCUCUACAACCAGAAAUAGCCAUGCUCUUGGAGUUGCUCUUAGCGACCCACAACCUUGCUACAUAUUCAUAGUUAGAGCCGAUGUUAACACCUGUCACUUAACCAUUCUCCAAACAUUUGUUGCCACACAAUAGUCAAAAAAUAAAUGUGUAAUGGACUCAAGCUCAUUACAGAAAAGGUAAGUGGGAUCAGAAACCAAACCUCCCUUCUCUUUUGCAAAUUGUCCCUCGUCAGUGUUCUGUUGUGGGAAACAACCAUAGGAAGA